rnacentral:lncRNA from 1 species
ACCUGGCACAUUGACCUGAGACAACGUGAAAUAAAAAUGAGAUAUUCUCCAAUCAUGUGAUGCUUGGACUAAAAAUAACACGUGCAUUUUUCAGUUCUGAACUCAGUAAAUGGCACAACGUGAGUCGAGUUUGAGAAAAACAGAGCCUAGUACAGAGGAUGAAUGAAGAAACCAACUCAUCCUGGUCAUUCAGGAAUGUGAAAAUUUCCCCCGUGGCUCCCAGGUCCACAGACUGAGGCUUCCUUGCACAGCCGAGGGCAUGAGGAUCCUGGGGUUAAUACACCAGCCAGAAUAAGCCUGUGGGAUUUAAGCCUGAAGCUUCUAUGAGGAGCGCAUUCAUCAUCCAUUGUAACAUCUCAGUCUCAACAAAGUCGACUCAUUUUCUAGGGAAAUUUUCUCUUUGAUGGCCACUGUUGACGAU